CCCAGUGUGGUGCAGUGUUUGAUCACUAGAUUAUGACUCUGGAGACCAGGGUUCAAAUCCCCACUUGGC